rnacentral:lncRNA from 1 species
AUAAUAGGUUUGAUGUGAAUUCAGGCAUGUAAAAGGCUUUAGAUUCUUUGUUAAACAACUUAAGCUUUCCUAUUCCCUUAAUAGGUAUCUUAUCUCCAUUUGCUAUCAUCACAUGUCCAUGAGUAGGUUCUAUAUCCUUAAUUAGUUUCUCAUCACUUAUCAUAUGAUGUGAUGCUCCAGAAUCAACAAUCAAUGGUUUAUCUACUCGUUUAGCAUUAUGACAUAGAUUACUAAGUGAUGAAUGCAUCCUAUCAUCUCUAGCAAUGUGUGCACAUCUAUACUCAUUCCUAGUCUCUAACCGUUCUACUAGUUCUCUAAUCAAGUGAUCAUCCUUAUAUGC